rnacentral:pre_miRNA from 1 species
AAAUGAUGAUGAUGAUGAUGAUGAUGAUGAUGAUGAUGAUAACUGCUUUGAGUCCCAUUCGUGCAAGAAAAGCAGGUUCAAAUCAUCAUCAUCAUCAUCAUCAUCAGAAAUA